rnacentral:rRNA from 1 species
CCCUAGUAACGGCGAGUGAAGAGGGAAAAGCUCAAAGUUGGAACCUGGCUGUCUUAGAUAGUCCGGAUUGUAAACUAAAGAGCGUGAAUCCAGGCAAGCCGGUUGAUCAAGUCCUUUGGAAUGAGGCGCCACUGAGGGUGAGAGCCCCGUAAAUCGACUGAGCAUUUGUCUUUUGUGUUUCGCGUUCAAAGAGUCAGGUUGUUUGGGAAUGCAGCCUAAAGCUGGUGGUAAAUCCCACCUAAAGCUAAAUACAGGCGAGAGACCGAUAGCGAACAAGUACCGUGAGGGAAAGAUGAAAAGUACUUUGAAAAGAGAGUUAAACAGUAUGUGAAAUUGCCAAGAGGGAAGCAUUUGGAGUUAGACUGACUUGAAGUUAAUCAGCUUGGUCUUUGGACUGGGUGUACUUGACUUCUAUGUCUGCCAAUAGCAGUUAGUCCUGGUGGAAAAAACUGAAGGGAAGGUAGUCCUUCGGGAUGUUUAUAGACCUUUGGAAAAUACACUGGGAUUGACUGAGGAAUGCAGUAGAUGCUAUUAAGGCUUCGUCUAGUAGGUGUUAGGUGAAGGUACUUGGUAUUUUCAGCUUGCUGAUGUGCUAGGUUACUUGAGCUUAAUUGCUUGCUAGAACUGUAAUCUACUUUGGUUAUUGGCUUAAU